UUGUGCGUGUGACAGCGGC
rnacentral:miRNA from 3 species